rnacentral:lncRNA from 1 species
UCCACUCGAUAUCCUCGUCCAUUUUCUUUUUCCCUUUCCUCGAUGACACUUUCGGCGCUAUAUUAGCUACGGAAAAAUUAACACAACAUUUAAGAUCAUUAAUAUCACAUUCUUAAGAUUUCCAUGUAACUUUUUCAAAAAUUCCAAUUUAGUCCUUCCACCAUAACCAUUCUUUUUCUUCAAAAUUAACUUAAGUUUUCAUCUUCAUACUUGGUUAAAAUAAAUUCCAGCAUUUCAUGUUCAACAUAAAACUUAAAUUCUGAAUUUCUUUCAACUUAGUCCUUACUAUAUCAAAACUUAACUCUCUCUUUACGAUUUAAUCCUUAUAUCAUUUCUAACUUGAAUUUCUAUCAAUUUAGCCUUUAAUUCAUCUUUUUAUUCAAC